GAGUUUGAUCUUGGCUCAGAACGAACGCUGGCGGCAGGCUUAACACAUGCAAGUCGAGCGCCCCGCAAGGGGAGCGGCAGACGGGUGAGUAACGCGUGGGAAUCUACCCAGCUCUACGGAAUAACCCAGGGAAACUUGGACUAAUACCGUAUACGUCCUCCGGGAGAAAGAUUUAUCGGAGUUGGAUGAGCCCGCGUUGGAUUAGCUAGUUGGUGGGGUAAUGGCCUACCAAGGCGACGAUCCAUAGCUGGUCUGAGAGGAUGAUCAGCCACAUUGGGACUGAGACACGGCCCAAACUCCUACGGGAGGCAGCAGUGGGGAAUAUUGGACAAUGGGCGAAAGCCUGAUCCAGCCAUGCCGCGUGAGUGAUGAAGGCCCUAGGGUUGUAAAGCUCUUUCAACGGUGAAGAUAAUGACGGUAACCGUAGAAGAAGCCCCGGCUAACUUCGUGCCAGCCGCCGCAGUAAC
rnacentral:rRNA from 2 species